UUGAACGCUGGCGGCAUGCUUUACACAUGCCAGUCGAACGGCAGCGCGGGCUUCGGCCUGGCGGCGAGUGGCGAACGGGUGAGUAAUGCAUCGGAACGUGCCCAGUAGUGGGGGAUAGCCCGGCGAAAGCCGGAUUAAUACCGCAUACGACCUGAGGGUGAAAGCAGGGGACCGAAAGGCCUCGCGCGAUUGGAGCGGCCGAUGUCGGAUUAGCUAGUUGGUGGGGUAAAGGCUUACCAAGGCGACGAUCCGUAGCUGGUCUGAGAGGACGACCAGCCACACUGGGACUGAGACACGGCCCAGACUCCUACGGGAGGCAGCAGUGGGGAAUUUUGGACAAUGGGGGCAACCCUGAUCCAGCCAUGCCGCGUGCGGGAAGAAGGCCUUCGGGUUGUAAACCGCUUUUGUUCGGGAAGAAAUCCUCUGGGCUAAUACCCCGGGGGGAUGACGGUACCGGAAGAAUAAGCACCGGCUAACUACGUG
rnacentral:rRNA from 1 species